AUGGAGGAAGCAUGGUGGCAGGAAUGUCUGCAUGGUUCUUGAGAGUUGCAUAAGCAGCAAAGCAGUUCAUGGAUGGUUGGAUGACAAUGGCCAGUUGAGCACUUGAGCUGCUGGUCCUCAUCAAUCAUCAGUUUGUAUUUGUCCAUGCCUCUUGUGGCCGUCUUCCCUGGCUGGCUUCCAGUUCCGGAAGGCCCGGUGAGGCGUGGACAGAGACCGGCAAGUCAGAGAUCGGCAAUGGUGAGCUCCUGCAGGAGCCUA
rnacentral:sRNA from 2 species